rnacentral:rRNA from 1 species
ACGUGAUCUGAGUUCAGACCGGAGUAAUCCAGGUCAGUUUCUAUCUAUAACGGAAUUUUUUCUAGUACGAAAGGGCCGAAAAAAUAUGGCCUAUACUCUAUGCAAGCCAUAAUUAUUAACUUAUGAUUAAAUCUUAAUAAGUACAUAAUCCACUAUUUACCUCAAGAAGAGAGU